CACAAGUAGGGUUUUCCAACCCUGCCCAUCAAGCUUAAUAUCCCCUUGUCAUACUCCUUCGGCUUUGCUCCUUGACUUGAACAUCUCAAUAGAAACUUCACAAAAUUACUCAAGCUUUUGAGAUGGACCACGAGAAGCGUGAAGGCAGUUCUUCAAGGGAAGAGGUAAUCGAUAUCAAUUAUGUGGAUAACAUCGAAGCCUCAGCAGUGAAUGAAAAGGCUUUGAUUCGCAAAGUCGACUGGCGUUUACUCCCAAUUCUGGGGGCCUUGUAUGCCAUUGCUUUGAUUGACCGUGUCAAUAUAUCCAAUGCGCGUGUAGCCGGAAUGAACAA
rnacentral:sRNA from 2 species